AUUCACAUCGGAAUCGGCACUGAUCAUUUGACCGCCUUACACCAAUUCCCUCAUUCCCUCCGAUGAAUGAUCGAUUUUUAACCCAUUUUAAUGGCAUUAUCAUUCUUCUUCUUUGUCUUCCAAAUCAGCCAUAGAGCGAGAGACAAGAGCAGAGAAAGAGGGAUCCAGAGAGUGAGAGGAACUGUUCUUCAUCGUCUCCCCCUUUUUCGUUUGAUUUUGUGGGUUAUCUUCUCAACCCCUCUCCUACAGUUGAUGAAAUUCUAGUUUUCACAAUGAGUAUUUCUCUGUUUUUACCUACUUUGUCUUUUCUCCUUUCCUUUUUUUUCUUCAGAUUCUUGCUUAUCAAGAUUGUAUUUCUCUGUUUUUUUUUCUUCAGAUUCUUGCUUACCAAGAUUGUAUCUCUCUGUUUUUACCCACUUUGUCUUUUCUCCUUUCCUUUUUUUUUCUUCAGGUUCUUGCUCUUAGACGAGAAAUCUGUUGACGAACCAAAAAUUUUGAAGAUUUCUUUUAUUUUUGUCAAAACCCAUCUCGAUUUUAACUUUUUUCUUUCUUUUACAAUGGGUUUUCGGGGAUUUGUCUCUUGGACCUGUGAAGAUGAUGAUGACACAAGAAGAAGACACCGGUUUGGGGAUCAACAGCAGCGGCGAGGACGAUUUCAGUUCCUGCAAAGAAGACUAAGAAAGGAGGGAGUGGGAUAGGUAUGUAAUUUUUGUCGAAGAAAGCUCAGAGGGAGGGGGAGAGAGAGAGGAACCGCAGCCGCUGCCACUGCCGAGGUUGAAGAAAGCUCAGAGGGAGGGGAGAGAGAGAGGAACCGCAGCCGCUGCCGCAGCCGAAGCCGCUGCCGAGGUCGAAGAAAGCUCAAAGGGAGGGGGAGAGAGAGAGGAACAGUAAAAACCAGAAAAAAGAAGAAGAAGAAGAAGAAGAAGAAGAAGAGAACUGAGCUCAACUUGGUCGGGGGAGAGAGGGAGUAACAGAAAAAACCAAAAAAAAAAAAAAAAAAGAGAGUGCAGCCCUACCGGAGUCGGAGCUAGUGAGGAAAAGGGGAAGAAAAACCGUGGAGCAGCAAUAUUGAAUAAGUUUUGUACGACAAAAAUUACAAACGGAUGAGAUCUUUUAUCUUUCAUCUGAUCACCAUUAUUCGCUGGCAUACCUAAUUACUAGGUAUUGUGCUAGCAUACCUAUCCCUCUCCCAUCAAAAUAGUUGUAUUUGAGGAACAGAAAAUAGCAAAAAAGCAAUUUUUGA